UCCCUCCCUCCCUCCCUCUCUCUCCGUGGUGUCUCUAAAUAGCAACCGCGUGGCGGGUGCGUUCUCACUCUCGGAGAUACAUUAUGUUUCCUUCGUGGCGAUCAUCGUGCAUCACCAUGUGGUUCUUCCCUUUACCCGGCCGAAACACUUUAUGACGUGUUGACGGUCGUGCUUUAGCCGCGGAAGUUGAAGGGAGAUUAUAAAUCUCAUUGGCGGCGUUACCCCGCGAUGCAGAAAGUCGCUCGGCUGUCUCAACAACUCACCGGCAAAAACGUACAGCGGGCAGCGGUGGAAAAUUUCGAAGUUUCACGAUUGGAUGACGAUAAAAAAAGUACGAGCCACGAAGCAUGUCGGAUUUCUAAAGUCGAUUGACGCGGUCGAUUUGUCAGACAUGUUCUAAAUUUGUAACGUAACAAUCUUACGUUAAAACGAUUUUCCCAGAUAAAACUUAUAGCCGACUGUUUAUUCGUGGAACGACGAAAGCGGAGGAUAAACUGUAAUUGGAUUGAUCAUUAAACUAUUAACUUAGUUCCGCCGUGGUUCUUCGCAGUGGAUGGUAAGGAUGAUCAUCGGGGUGUCAAUAAUAAAUUGCGACGGUUUGGCUUUCGUAUAAUUACUAUAUUAUCGGUGCAACAGUAACGUCACAUAGACACAGGACUAGGACUAGUGUAGACAAUUACGCCGAAAAGUAUCCGUGCCUAAGUAUCCGUUUCGAAGUGAGACGAGUAAGAUUGGUCGAUCUUGAUGAUCGUGAGUCUUCGAGUAAGCGAGAGAGUCAUUUUGGCUAUUUUCUAGAAAAAAGAAAAAAAAA